GACGAACGCUGGCGGCGUGCUUAACACAUGCAAGUCGAACGGAAAGGCCCUGCUUUUGUGGGGUGCUCGAGUGGCGAACGGGUGAGUAACAUGUGAGUAACCUGCCCUUGACUUUGGGAUAACUUCAGGAAACUGGGGCUAAUACCGGAUAGGAGCUCCUGCUGCAUUGUGGGGGUUGGAAAGUUUCGGCGGUUGGGGAUGGACUCGCGGCUUAUCAGCUUGUUGGUGGGGUAGUGGCUUACCAAGGCUUUGACGGGUAGCCGGCCUGAGAGGGUGACCGGCCACAUUGGGACUGAGAUACGGCCCAGACUCCUACGGGAGGCAGCAGUGGGGAAUAUUGCACAAUGGGCGGAAGCCUGAUGCAGCAACGCCGCGUGCGGGAUGACGGCCUUCGGGUUGUAAACCGCUUUCGCCUGUGACGAAGCGUGAGUGACGGUAAUGGGUAAAGAAGCACCGGCUAACUACGUG
rnacentral:rRNA from 1 species